UUGGUACAAAGAGAAGCGAAGCGGUGACGUGGAGCAAACCUCAGAAAGCCAAUCUCAGUUCGGAUUGUAGGCUGCAACUCGCCUACAUGAAGUUGGAAUCGCUAGUAAUCGCGAAUCAGAAUGUCGCGGUGAAUACGUUCCCGGGUCUUGUACACACCGCCCGUCACACCAUGGGAGUCAGCAACGCCCGAAGUCAGUGACCUAACCGAGAGGGAGGAGCCGCCGAAGGCGGGGCCGGUAACUGGGGUGAAGUCGUAACAAGGUACC
rnacentral:rRNA from 1 species